rnacentral:snRNA from 1 species
GGCUGUGAGGGUGAUCUGGCUGUGACAUUCUGUCACCCCACUGACCAACAGGGUCGAUUUAGCUGGCUAGGCAGGUGUCUCCUUCCUCCCUCAGCACUCCAUGUGCGUCCCUCCUGAAGCUGCACACUCAGGUGAAAAGGGUGACCUUCUCCGAACAGAGGAGGACCAUUCUUUGGCCAAAGGUACAUGAAUAGCUGUACUCUUCUGCUAGAACUUCCAAUCAGCUCUCAAAAUAAAAGGAAGACUACUUGGAAGGAAGAUGGCAUUCACUGGAGGGGGAAAAGGGAAGGUGGUGGGAGGGGAUUCUAAUCAUGAUAUGGUCCAUAUUUA